rnacentral:rRNA from 1 species
AUUAGUGGCGAACGGGUGAGUAACACGUGAGUAACCUGCCCCUGACUCUGGGAUAAGCGUUGGAAACGACGUCUAAUACUGGAUAUGAUCACUGGCCGCAUGGUCUGGUGGUGGAAAGAUUUUUUGGUUGGGGAUGGACUCGCGGCCUAUCAGCUUGUUGGUGAGGUAAUGGCUCACCAAGGCGACGACGGGUAGCCGGCCUGAGAGGGUGACCGGCCACACUGGGACUGAGACACGGCCCAGACUCCUACGGGAGGCAGCAGUGGGGAAUAUUGCACAAUGGGCGAAAGCCUGAUGCAGCAACGCCGCGUGAGGGAUGACGGCCUUCGGGUUGUAAACCUCUUUUAGUAGGGAAGAAGCGAAAGUGACGGUACCUGCAGAAAAAGCACCGGCUAACUACGUGCCAGCAGCCGCGGUAAUACGUAGGGUGCAAGCGUUGUCCGGAAUUAUUGGGCGUAAAGAGCUCGUAGGCGGUUUGUCGCGUCUGCUGUGAAAUCCCGAGGCUCAACCUCGGGCUUGCAGUGGGUACGGGCAGACUAGAGUGCGGUAGGGGAGAUUGGAAUUCCUGGUGUAGCGGUGGAAUGCGCAGAUAUCAGGAGGAACACCGAUGGCGAAGGCAGAUCUCUGGGCCGUAACUGACGCUGAGGAGCGAAAGCGUGGGGAGCGAACAGGAUUAGAUACCCUGGUAGUCCACGCCGUAAACGUUGGGCGCUAGAUGUAGGGACCUUUCCACGGUUUCUGUGUCGUAGCUAACGCAUUAAGCGCCCCGCCUGGGGAGUACGGCCGCAAGGCUAAAACUCAAAGGAAUUGACGGGGGCCCGCACAAGCGGCGGAGCAUGCGGAUUAAUUCGAUGCAACGCGAAGAACCUUACCAAGGCUUGACAUACACCGGAAACGGCCAGAGAUGGUCGCCCCCUUGUGGUCGGUGUACAGGUGGUGCAUGGUUGUCGUCAGCUCGUGUCGUGAGAUGUUGGGUUAAGUCCCGCAACGAGCGCAACCCUCGUUCUAUGUUGCCAGCGCGUUAUGGCGGGGACUCAUAGGAGACUGCCGGGGUCAACUCGGAGGAAGGUGGGGAUGACGUCAAAUCAUCAUGCCCCUUAUGUCUUGGGCUUCACGCAUGCUACAAUGGCCGGUACAAAGGGCUGCGAUACCGUAAGGUGGAGCGAAUCCCAAAAAGCCGGUCUCAGUUCGGAUUGAGGUCUGCAACUCGACCUCAUGAAGUCGGAGUCGCUAGUAAUCGCAGAUCAG